rnacentral:rRNA from 1 species
CCUACGGGUGGCAGCAGUGAGGAAUAUUGGUCAAUGGGCGCGAGCCUGAACCAGCCAAGCAGCGUGAAGGAAGACGGCUCUAUGGGUUGUAAACUUCUUUUAUAAAAGAGUAAACUGAGAUACGUGUGCCUGUCUGUAGGUACUUUACGAAUAAGGAUCGGCUAACUCCGUGCCAGCAGCCGCGGUAAUACGGAGGAUCCGAGCGUUAUCCGGAUUUAUUGGGUUUAAAGGGUGCGUAGACGGGUUGUUAAGUCAGUGGGGGAAGUUCGCGGCUCAACCGUGGAAUUGCCAGUGAUACUGGUAGUCUUGAGUGCAGUUGCGGUAGGCGGAAUGCGUGGUGGAGCGGUGAAAUGCUUAGAUAUC